UACGUAGGGUGCGAGCGUUAAUCGGAAUUACUGGGCGUAAAGCGUGCGCAGGCGGUGAUGUAAGACAGUUGUGAAAUCCCCGGGCUCAACCUGGUAACUGCAUCUGUGACUGCAUCGCUGGAGUGCGGCAGAGGGGGAUGGAAUUCCGCGUGUAGCAGUGAAAUGCGUAGAUAUGCGGAGGAACACCGAUGGCGAAGGCAAUCCCCUGGGCCUGCACUGACGCUCAUGCACGAAAGCGUGGGGAGCAAACAGG
rnacentral:rRNA from 1 species